rnacentral:lncRNA from 1 species
ACGAUAACUGGAAGUAAUCAACUUAUUUCACAUAUAUAAUCAUGGUUUUGAAUACACCCUUAGCCAAAACGAAAUUAGCCAAUCAUACUUAAAGCAAAACAAAGAUUAAAUGAAUUAGACAUUGAAAUAUAAGAUAGAAUACACCUAAAAUUGUUCAACAACUCAGAAUGAAGAGCCAAACAAUUGAGUGAAACUGUCCCUUUUCCUUACUUGCGGCAGAUUGGAUGUUGGUGGUUCCUGGGCUGUUUUGAUGAUGUAGAAUGGAUUUUGGGGUGUAGUUGUAGGGUGAGUGUAUGGCGGCUAGGGAUGUUUUUAGGCAGAAACUAGGGUGAAUGGUGGUAGAAUGGUGCGGCUAAGUGUAUGGAAUGUGUUCUGGCGUGAAUGGCAGUCUCUGGAUGAAUUUGUGGCUGCCAAAGAGAGUUUAUUUAAAGGGAUUUCAGGAAUUAAAACCCUAGGUUAUUUUGGUAAACAGAAAUUAAGUCAAAAGCUUCUAGAAAUAGGAAAUCAAAUCAGAAACUUAAGGGAAAGUAGGCUAAAGGGUGCGGCACUAACCUAAAAUAGAUUAGGAAGGUGUUUAUAAGCAAGGAAAUAGGAAAUAACUCCCUCCCUUGCACGGCAAGGAAGAGGGAAGGUGGGAAAGGUGCGGCAAGAAUGAGGACCAUGCAAGGAAUGUGUAAUUUGUGUCCUAGAAUGCUUAAAAGGCCUUCAAAGUUGCUGGAACAUAGGGACAAUUAGGAUUAGGAAAGGUCAAACCAAAAUAAGAAACCUUGGCUUAACUUUCCUACUUCAAGUAGGAAUCCUUGUUGAAGUAGGAAUCCUCAUGUGAUUAGGAAUCUAUCUUCAAUUAGGAAUCCUUCGUCAAUUAGGAAUCCUUCGUCAAUUAGGAAUCCUAACUUUUUCAAAUCUUCAAUUACGUCCAUUCCUUGUGCUCCGAGCAUGUGAUAAUCAUGCCAAGCUCCAUUUUGCUCCAAAAUGCUCCAAAAUGCAACUUCUUGCGUACUUUGUCCUUGGAAUCUGAAAACACACAAAAGUAACUUUAAACACUAAAAUAACUAAGGAAACACAACGUAAAUGCACGAGAACAAGCCAAUUAGGUCGCAUAAAUAUGCUCCUAUCAGUUUUUGACGAAUUUAAAGCAAAGACAAGUAAAUUAAAGACUUAAACAAAUUUAGCAUGAAUUUGGGAAAAAGUAUGGGUGAUUGGCUAGCCAGAGGGUCCUUCUCCAUACAUGACACACUUGCACACAAAUCGAUUUCCAGUUGCUUUUCCAAUAAACCAUGAAUCUCAACGCCCCAGAUUAACCGUGGCAUCACUAAUUAACCCUCAGAUUUUCCUUAAGUCAUUGAAUUGGAUGGACAACGCAUCAGUGAUAGGAGCAUAUUUAUGCGCCUUAGUUUAGCUUGUUCUUGUGCAUUUAUAGUGUUUUUCCUUAGUAAAGUAGUCUUUUAAGCUAGUUUUAUGUGUUUUCAGGUUCUAAGGGCAAAGUAUGCAAAAGGAUGCAUUUUGGAGCCAAGAGGAUGGACGAAAUUGAAGAGUUGAAGAUGAUGUUUCCUACUUGAACAAGGUUUCCUAGUCGAAGUAGGAAAGCGCCUAAGUAAAAGAUGAAAUCCUAAUCAACGAAGGAUUCCUAGUUGGAGAUGGAUUCCUAGAAGAAUGAAGAUUCCUACUCAAACAAGGUUUCCUACUCGAAGUAGGAAAGUUAAAUCCAAAUGGCAUCAAGUUUCAGCAACAAAGAAGAAUUCCAAGUCAAGGGAGGAUUGAGACAUGUUUUCCUAAUGCUAGAAGGACUCCUAAGUGUUGUAGGACACAAAUGAGAAGUUUCUAGAAGAAUUCCCCUCCUUGCCGUGAGUUUCUACAAUUCCUAUCAGUUUUGGGGCUUUCUAGAAGCCCUAUCCUUUAUCCUACAAACCUGCCGCACCUAGGACCCCUUUUUCCUUGCAAAAUCUGAUUGUUUAACCUAUUUCCUGAUGGAUUUGGCUUUCUAGAAGGCCUAAUCUGAUUCACCUAGGGUUUUAGGGCCUAUAAAUAGGUGUGCCGCACCCCUAAAUCAGAUUCACCACUCACCACAAUUCACAAUUCACUCCAGAAAUUCAAAACAACCCUUUGCCGCACCAAUUCACUCCCAUUCACCAUACAAUCUGACUUUGCCGCACCCCCCACCCUUCCUAAACACUUCUACCUUAGUCCAUACUCAUCCACCCAUACAUAUAAGUCCCAAACCUGUCCCUAAAGUCCUUUGCCGCAGCAAGGAGGAGGAGAAGGAAGCUUGGAAGUUCAUGCAAUGCAAGUUCAAGUGGCUGGAAGUUUAGGUGUUUCCUUUCCUUUGAUUUCAAUGUUUAAACUUAUUACUCUUUGUUUUAUGCUUAUGAGGAACUAAACCCCCCCUUGGCUAGGGGGGAUUCGAAAUACAUGUUUAUGCUUGCGAUAUGAUUU